GUAGUUGUAUAAUGAUCAUAACAAUCUGAUUUCACAAGAUUUCCAUCCCACAGCCCAAGCACAUCCCUCCACCCCCCCAAACUGUAUCCUCCAGAGAACAUAAGUUAUUCAAUGUCUGUGAGUCAGCAUCUGUUCUGCAAAGAAGUUACGUCUGAAUUUUUUUCAGAUUCCACAUGUCAGUGAUAGCAUUUAAUGUUGGUGUCUCAUUGUAUGGCUGACUUCACUUAGCAUGAUAAUUUCUAGGUCCAUCCAUGUUGCUAAGAAUGCCGGUAUUCCAUUCCUUUUAAUGGCUGAUUAAUAUUCCAUUGUGUAUAUGUACCAAAUCUUCUGGAUCCACUCAUCUGCCAAUGGACAUUUAGGUUGUUUCCAUGUCUUGGCUAUUGCAAAUAGUGCUGCAAUGAACAUUGGAGUACAUGUGUCUUUGUGAGUCAUGGUUUUCUCUGGAUAGAUGCCCAGGAGUGGGAUUGCUGGAUCAAAUGGUAGUUCUGUGUUUAGUUUUCUGAGGCAUCUCCAUACUGUUUGCCACAGUGGUUGCACCCAUUUACAAUCCCACAAACAAUGUACUAGGGUUCCUUUUUCUCCACACCCUCUCCAGCACUUACUGUUUGUAGACAUUUUUAUGAUGGGCAUUCUGGCUGAUGUAAGGUGGUACCUCAUUGGGAUUUUGAUUUGCAUUCUCUAAUAAUGCAUGAUGUUGAACAUCUUUUCAUGUGUUUUUUGGCCAUCUUUAUGUCUUCUUGGAGAAUUGCCUGUUUAGAUCUUCUGCCCAUUUUUGGAUGGGAUUGUUUGUUUUUUUGAUGGAGCUGCAGAAGGUGUUUAUAAAUUUUGGAGAUUAAUCCCUUGUCACUUGAUUCACUGGCAAAGAUUUUCUCCCAUUCUGUGGGUUGUCUUUUUGUUUGAUUUACGGUUUCCUUUGCUGUGCAGAAACUUUGAAGUUCCAUUAGGUCCCAUUUGUUUUACUUUUGUUUUUAUUGUCAAUACUCUAAGAGGUGGAUCUGAGAAGAUGUUGCUGUCAUUAAUGUCAGAGAGUGUUUGGCCUAUGUUUUCCUCUAAGAGUUUGAUAGUGUCUGGUCUUAUAUCUAGGCCUUUAAUCCAUUUGGAGUUUAUUUUUGUGUAUGGUAUUAGGGAGUGUUCUAAUUUCAUUCUUUUCCAUGUGGCUGUCCAGUUUUCCCAGCACCCACUUAUUGAACAAGCUGUCCUUUCUCCAUUGUAUAUUCUUGCCUCCUUUGUCAUAGAUUAGUUGGCUGUAUGUGCGUGGGUUUUAAUUCUGGGCUUUCUAUCCUGUUACGCUGAUCUAUAUUUCUGUCUUUGUGCCAGUACCAUAUGGUUUUGAGGAUUGUUGCUUUUUAGUAUAGUGUGAAGUCUGGGAGCCUGAUUCCUCCAGAUCCAUUUUUCUUUUUCAGGAUGUCUUUGGCUAUUCUGGGUCUUUUGUGCUUCCACACAAACUUUAAAAUAUUUUGUUUGAGUUCUGAGAAAAAUGUCCUUGGUAAUUUGAUAGGGAUUUUAUUGAACCCGUAGAUUGCCUUAGGUAGUAUAGUCAUUUUGAUAAUAUUAACUCUUCUAAUCCACGAGCAUGGUACAUCUUUCCAUCUCUUUAUGUCAUCUUUGAUUUCUUUCAUCAGUGUCUUACAGUUUUCAGAGUACAGGUCUUUUGUCUCUUUAGGUAGUUUUACUCCUAGGUAUUUUACUCUUUUGGAUGCAAUGGUAAAUGGGAUUGCUUCCCUAAUUUCUUUUUCUGCUCUUUCAUUGUUAGUGUAUAGAAAUGCCAUCAAUUUCUGUUUAUUAAUUUUGUAUCCUGCAAAUUUGACAAAUUCAUGGAUGAGCUCUAACAGUUUUCUUGUAGAGUCUUUAGGAUUCUCUAGGUAUAUAUCAUGUCAUCUGCAAAUAUUAAUAGUUCUUCCUUUCCAAUUUGGAUUCCUUUUAUUUCUUUUUCUUCUCUGAUUGCAGUGGCUAGGACUUCCAAAACUAUGUUGAAGAGUAGUAGCGAGAGCGGAAAUCCUUGUCUUGUUCCUGAUCUCAGUGGGAAUUCUUUCAGCUUUUCACCAUUGAGAAUGAUGUUAGCUCUGGGUUUGUCAUAUAUGGCCUUUAUUAUGUUGAGGUAGGUUCCUGAUGUGCCCACUUUCUGAAGGGUUUUUAUCAGAAAUGGGUGUUGAAUUUUGGCAAGGCUUUUUCUGAAUCUAUUGAGAGGAACACAUGGUUUUUAUUCUUCAGUUUGUUAAUGUGGUGUAUCACACUGAUUGAUUUGCAGAUAUUGAAGAACCCUUGCAUCCCUGGGAUAAAUCCCACUUGAUCAUGAUGUCCAGUCCUUUUAAUGUAUCGUUGGAUGCAGUUUGCUAGAAUUUUGUUGAGGAUUUUUGCAUCAAUGUUCCUCAGUGAAACUGGCCUGUAGUUUUCUUUUUAUGUGGUAUCUUUGUCUGGUUUUGGUAUCAGGGUGAUGGUGGCCUCAUAGAAUGAGUUUGGGAGCAUCCCUUCCUCUGCAAUUUUUUGAAAUAGUUUCAGGAGAGGUGUUAGCUCUUCUCUAAAUGUUUGAUAGAAUUCACCUGUGAAGCCAUCUUGUCCUGGACUUUUGUUUUUUGGAAGUUUUUUAAUCACAGUUUCAAUUUCAGUUCUUGUGAUGGGUCCAUUCAUCUUUUCUAUUUCAUCUUGGUUUAGACUUGGAAGACUGUACUUUUCUAAGAAUUUGUCCAUAGCUUCUAGGUUUUCUGUUUUAUUGGUGUAUAGUUACCUAUAGUAGUCUCUUAUUAUCCUUUUUAUUUCUGUGAUGUCCGUUGUUACUUCUCCUUUUUCAUUUCUAAUUUUAUUGAUUUGAGUCCUCUCUUUUUUUCUCGAUAAGUCUGGCUAGGGGUUUAUCAAUUUCGUUGAUCUUUUCAAAGAAGCAGCUUUUCGUUUCAUUGAUCUUUUCUAUGGUUUUCUUUGUUUCUAUUU
rnacentral:lncRNA from 1 species